rnacentral:rRNA from 1 species
UACAGAGGUCUCAAGCGUUGUUCGGAUUCAUUGGGCGUAAAGGGUGUGUAGGUGGCGCGCUAAGUCGGGUGUGAAAUUUCGGAGCUUAACUCCGAAACUGCAUUCGAUACUGGCGUGCUUGAGGACUGGAGAGGAGACUGGAAUUCAUGGUGUAGCAGUGACAUGCGUAGAGAUCAUGAGGAAGACCAGUGGCGAAGGCGGGUCUCUGGACAGUUCCUGACACUGAGACACGAAGGCCAGGGGAGCAAACGGG